rnacentral:tRNA from 1 species
UGUAAGGUGGUCGAAAUAUUAGUCGUUAGAUUGUAAAUCUAUGUAUAAGUUUAAAUAAACUUUCUUAUGG